GACCCAGUGUAUUGUAGUGGUUUGAGUGUUGGAGUAGCAUUCUGGAGACCAGGGUUCAAAUCCCCACUGGGUCA